AAUGUGCUAAGAGGAUAUGAGAUUGAAGCUGCUGGCACCCAGCUCUCCCUGCCACAGGGCAGAGAAUGGGGCCAAGGCAUAAAGAGAAGCAGAGCUCUGAGAAAUGGAAUGAGAGAGACCUGAUGACAUUGUUUGAGCCCCUGAGAUGAGCCUUGCCUGAGAUGGCAAAAUCUUAAGAAGUCAUAUCCAGACCUGAGCAAGAAUUGCCCAUCACCAAGGGACCCUGGACUGAGGACUCAAUAAAGCAACUGGAUGUAA